CCAAGUGAUGGCCCUAUCGCAUUACCAUGUGAUGCACUAUUCAUGAACUACAUUAUAUCACUCAUCAGAAGAGGUGUAUCUGCCGAUCUUCAGAAAGCGUUGCUUGUAUCAGUUGCUUCGAGCCGAUGCUCAUCAGCUUCAUUUCUUCAAGAACAAAGAAAUCCUCAAGUGCUAGUUUAUUGACCUAUGAUAAGUUUUGUAGUAGCCUAGUAGAUACAAACUACUCCACGAGUGUACAGCAUAUUAAAAUCUCAAUUAUUCAUCAGAAAUCUAUAUUCUUGUCUCCAAACUCUUUAAUUAUCUGAUCAUUUAGGAGAAUCUGAUUCUUUUAUUUGCAUUCUAGUAGUCCUAUAAUUCGAACUGAAAUCCACUAACAAUGACAGCACUUAGUGACAAUGAAUGAACAGAGAAUAUACAAUAUGAAUCAUAAAUUUUAUGUGGUCAAUUUUGGGACCAGCCUAGAAAAUUUUCACAAAACAAGCAGUGAACAACAAUAAAGUAGGUAUCAAAUCUUUUUGAUUUUAGAAUAUUACAACAUCACAGAACUUUAAUAUUCUAACCAAUAGGGUUAUAGAUUUCUGUAGGCCGCGCACCCUUAAUAUCCAGAUCGUGGCAUAAUCAAAUGGAUAAGGUGGUAGUCGCAGUUCGAAAGAAAGUUGUGUCAAAAACCAUCUUUUCAAAUUAGAUAGAGCGCAAACUUCUAUACUUAAGUAAAAGUCAAGAACCAUUCUUAUAUCUGUGUUGCAGUAGUUUUUAUCACAUUUAUUUUUCUCAAGGAAACAAUAUCCCUAAAAUGAAACUAAUACUUAGCUAUGCUGAAAUUUUAAGAAAAGGCCGAUGUAAUAUAAUAGAUGAACCACCAAAAUACAAAAGCAGGAGUAGUCAACCCAUGUCUGUGGUAGCCUCUUUAUGUUUUUCUUUUUUGAUCAGUAGUCUGUGGUAGAUUGUCAUCAAAGGUUAAGCCUAAUCAAGAACGACUUUUUGGGGGUAAGAUAAGGCAGUUUUGUUAUAAUUAAUACCAAGAAAGUACUGAAAAAGUACAAUAGAGGAUUACAAGUUCCCCAUUACAGCUUUAGCCACAGAGGAUGCAAAAGUUCGAAAAGGUGCCACAUUUUCGAGCAUACUCUCUUUACACCCGAAGUAUAAAUUCUGCAAACAUCGAUUCUUUACAAAAGAAAUGGGUUGUUACUUUCCUUCAAAACAUCUCUUAUUCCUCUCCCCCAAAGAAAAGAGUAGGAACAAGAAAAAGACUUAUUGAAUUAAUUGAUAAAAACUGAACUCUUUGGUUGCUACCCCCUCAUUUGCUUCGACACUAUCAAACAAAGAUUGAGUUCUCUUACUGUUAAUGUGUCUUUUAAGUAAAAUUUUUGAGUGUUAACUCACAAUAUUUUCAAUUUAUGUGUUUUAUGUGGCAGAGAAUUGGAAACCUUCACUGCCCUAUUACUAAUCAACUGUGGCAAUUGUUCCUUAACAUUGUUGGGCUAAGAUGGUCUAUGCCAGCUACUAUUGUUGAGUUACUAAAAUCUUGGAACAACACUGGAGACUCAACGAGUCAAAAGACAUGGUGGAGACUGAUACCUGCAUGCAUAUGGUGGACAAUAUAGAAGGAGAGAAAGUCAUGAGUUUUUGAAGACAGAUACAAAUCCGUUCAGGAUGUCAAGAUGGACCUGUAUUCUUCUAUUUCACUCUUGGUGUAAAGAAAGUCUUGUAGAGGAUACAGAAACUCUGGUAGACAUGUUAGGCCUUUUGUAAUUAGGUAGAUCAAGAUUGAUCUACUAUUCCCUGUACAUAUGGUUAUGCACUGCCUUGGUGCACUUUUAUUAAUACAAAUGUUACAUUCUCAGAAAAUAUCC
rnacentral:lncRNA from 1 species